rnacentral:rRNA from 1 species
GCAGCCGCGGUAACACGUAAGUUGCGAGCGUUGUUCGGAAUUAUUGGGCGUAAAGGGCAUGUAGGCGGUCGUGCAAGCUUGGUGUGAAAUCCCGGGGCUUAACUCCGGGACUGCGUUGAGAACUGCACGGCUAGAGUAACUGAGGGGCAGCCGGAAUUCCAGGUGUAGGGGUGAAAUCUGUAGAUAUCUGGAAGAACACCAAUGGCGAAGGCAGGCUGCCAGCAGAUUACUGACGCUGAGGUGCGAAGGUGCGGGGAGCAAACAGGAUUAGAUACCCC